UAUGGAUUUACAAUGAUGGCUAUGGAUUUACAAUGAUGGCUAUGGAUUUACAAUGAUGGCUAUGGAUUUACAAUGAUGGCUAUGGAUUUACAAUGAUGGCUAUGGAUUUACAAUGAUGGCUAUGGAUUUACAAUGAUGGCUAUGGACUCAAAGAAAUUCAAUAAGAAAAAACUGCCUUCCAAAAUUGUUCAAAGAAAAAAAAUAAUGACCAUAAGGAUACAAGCAAAGCCACGGAAAGAAAAGCAAACAAGCAAAGAAGAAAAGAAACCAAAGCAAAGCGAGAAAGCCAUGAAGCCAUGCAAAAUGCAGUGCAAAGCAAAGGUAUGAAAGGAAAACCAAAGAGCAAAGCAAAGCAACAGAAAAAACAAUAAGAAGAAAGAAAAGGGACUGAAAAGGAAAGGAAACUAACAAUAAGUCAUUCGAUAAGAAGAGAAAGGGGAAGGAAAAAAGGAAUGCAAAGAAAUGAACUGGAAGGAAGAAAACCACAUUAAGGAAAUAAACAAUGGAAAGCGAAGCAAAACGAGCAGUACAGAAAUCUGAAUUAGAAUUAGAAGGCAGAGCAAAGCAAAGCAAGUGAGGGCAAGGCUAGAGGAAGGGGACAGGCAAGGGGACAAGGAUACAAGCAAGGAAAAGAAGGCAAAGAAGAAUGCAAUUACAAAACAAAAGGGAAACUGAAAGCAGAGCACAGAAAAACCACUGGAAAAGAGGAGAAAAUACAGAGAGACUUUUAGAACGAACAACAAUAAGCGAAAG
ensembl:lncRNA